rnacentral:rRNA from 1 species
UACGUAGGGUGCAAGCGUUGUCCGGAAUUAUUGGGCGUAAAGAGCUCGUAGGCGGUCUGUCGCGUCUGCUGUGAAAACUCAGGGCUUAACCCUGAGCUUGCAGUGGGUACGGGCAGACUAGAGUGCGGUAGGGGAGACUGGAAUUCCCGGUGUAGCGGUGAAAUGCGCAGAUAUCGGGAGGAACACCGGUGGCGAAGGCGGUUCUCUGGGCCUUACCUGACGCUGGAGGAGCGAAAGCGUGGGGAGCGAACAGG